rnacentral:rRNA from 1 species
CCCUUAGAUGUUCUGGGCUGCACGCGCGCUACACUGAAGCGUUCAACGAGUAUUCACCUUGCCCGGGAGGGUUGGGUAAUCUUUUCAAAACGCUUCGUGAUGGGGAUAGAUUAUUGCAAUUAUUAAUCUUCAACGAGGAAUUCCUAGUAAGCGCGAGUCAUCAGCUCGUGCUGAUUACGUCCCUGCCCUUUGUACACACCGCCCGUCGCUACUACCGAUUGAAUGGUUUAGUGAGAUUUUUGGACUGGAACUCUCUUGUUCAGCAAUGAACGAGAGGGACUCUGGGAAGCUAUUCUAACUGUAUCAUUUAGAGGAAGUAAAAGUCGUAACA